rnacentral:lncRNA from 1 species
UGAUAAAUUUCAUUGGUUAUGCAAAGUAAUUAAGGCUCGAUUUGCACGUUGAGAAAAUGCAAUAAAAAAAUAUUAUAUUUAUUUUCGCAUAUAAUAUCACGUUCUGUAUAUCGUGCUGAGUCAAUUACGACAUAUUUUCUAUCCUCUUAUUUAAAAUACGCACAUAUUUUUGUCUCAAAUUUAUUUUAUCUAUUAGCCUUAGAUGAAUCUCACUAACUUAAAAUCUGAACUCCGAAUCCUAGCUUGAAUCCGAAAAUCCGAACCGAACCAUUAUUCCUGUUUACAAUAUUUCAAAAUAUAUUAAAUUAAAUGUGAAUAUUUAAAAUACAUAUUCAAAUAUAAUAUCAAAUAUUUAUAUAUAUUAUAUAUAACGUAACAUAAGUUCAGGUACUAAUCGGUUUUGGAUUCGGAUCGGAUAUAAUCAAAAUUCAUAUCUGAAUUCAAAUUAUUCGGAUUUUCGUUUUUGAUAUCCAUAUCCAAAAGUAUAUACAUUUAGCAUAAGUAAAUUCACUGUAUUCGCUUUCGGGUUUGAAUUCCGAUUCGGAUAAAAGAGUAAUAAAAAAUUUCUUUUAUUUAAAUUUAAUUUUUUUAAAUUUAAAUAUUAAAUAUUUAAAUUUAACAUAUUUAGAAAUAUUAUUAUUUCUAAAAUUUAAAUUAAUGCUUAAAUUAAAAGAAUUCUAAAAUUUCUAAAAUUAAUGUCUAAAUUAGCACAAAAUUAAUGCCUAAAUUUGAGAUAUCAAUUAAACCUUAAAUUAAUGCUUAAAUUAGUGCAAAAUUAAUACUAAAUUUGAGAUAUCAAUCAAAACUUUUUAAAAAUUUUAUCUAGUUUAAUUAAAAAGCAUUCUCAUAUAAAAUAACCUUCUAACCUACUACAUAAUAACAUAAUUUUUUAUUCUUUAUUAAUCAAUAUUUUUUUUUGUUUUUUAUAAAAUAAAAUAUCGAAUCAUUUCU